rnacentral:rRNA from 1 species
UACAGAGGGUGCGAGCGUUAAUCGGAAUUACUGGGCGUAAAGGGCGCGUAGGCGGUUUAUCAAGUGAGAUGUGAAAUCCCCGGGCUUAACCUGGGAACUGCAUCUUAAACUGAUAGGCUGGAGUACUGUAGAGGAUAGUGGAAUUUCCGGUGUAGCGGUGAAAUGCGUAGAGAUCGGAAGGAACAUCAGUGGCGAAGGCGACUGUCUGGACAGAUACUGACGCUGAGGCGCGACAGCGUGGGGAGCAAACAGG